UGCGCAGGCGGACUUUUAAGUCAGUGGUGAAAUCCCGGGGCUCAACCUCGGAACUGCCAUUGAUACUGGAAGUCUUGAAUUUGGUUGAAGUGGGCGGAAUGUAGCAUGUAGCGGUGAAAUGCUUAGAUAUGCUACAGAACACCGAUCGCGAAGGCAGCUCACUAAGCCAAUAUUGACGCUCAGGCACGAAAGCGUGGGGAGCAAACAGGAUUAGAUACCCUGGUAGUCC
rnacentral:rRNA from 1 species